AAUUCCAGCGAGAGGCAGAGGGAGCGAGCGGGCGGACCAGCCAGAGUGAACCUAGCGAGCCGGGCGAGCAGAGGCGCGCUCCGGGCGCUCAGGGCUGAGAUCCGGAGUGAAAGCGGGGCUUCACCUCCGGCCCAGCCUCCUCCUUCUCCCCACCCUGCCCGCCGACCUCUGCCAGAGAUCCGCCACCCUCGCCGCAUCCACAAAAACUUUGCCCAUUGCAGCGGGCGGGCACUUUCCCCUGGAACUUACAACACCCGAGCGAGAGAGAACGCGGCUCUCCAGGAGCGGAGAUCUAUUUGGGAAGACACUUCUCCGGGCCGC
rfam:Myotis lucifugus cont2.26193, whole genome shotgun sequence.